rnacentral:ncRNA from 1 species
UUCUUCAGGGCGGGGUGCAAUUCCCCACUGGCGGUAAAGUCCGCGAGCUGAGAGAGGGUGAUCCUAUCGAUGCCGAGCCGGUGAAAUUCCGGAACCAACAGUAUAGUCUGGAUGAAAGAAGAA